CGAGUACUUGCUUUUAUUUUAUUUUAUCAUUAUCUUUUAAUGGGUUUUGCUUGAAGUUUCACAAUUUCAGUUCUUGUGUUCACUCUGUGAAUUCUAUUAUCAAAAAUGAUCUGUAGCUUGAAUAUUUCGGGCUCGAAUGGCUCGAAAGUACAAAUUUCUCUCCCCUCUCGAUCUUUUCCCUCUCCGCUUUAGUAGUUCACUAUAUCUCUUUACUCUCGCCCCUCACCUCUCUCAUUCUCAACAAAUUGCAAGAAAUCAGCACUCUCACCUCUCUCUCACUCUUGCCUUAUCCCUCUCUCCUCUUUAUCUCUUUAUUCUUGCCUCUCUCACCUGUCUCUUGAAGGAGUACGAAGGACGACGAGGCGGGGGACGAAGGACGACGAGACGGUGGAUGAACGACGACGGAGGAUGACGAACCACGACACAGGACGAACGAGAGCCUGCGACAGCGAAUUUGAGAUAAAAAAAUGGCUUCAUCUUCUACUAAUAAUAGGAACAUAAGAUUAAAGCCAAGAUUGUGUAAUUGUGGAAGAACAGCUUCCAUGCAUAUUAUACGAACCAAUGAAAAUGGAAAUGAAGGACGUGUCUUUUUUGUUUGCCCAACAAAAUAUGUAAGUAUUUGUUAUAUAAAUUGAUCUUUUACUUUCUACAAAUUUCAUUUGUUAUUUAUUGAUUAACUGAUUCUUGUGCAUUGUAGAUUGCAAACGAACACUACAAUUACUUCAGAUUCGCAGAUGAUGAUGACGACGUUACCUCCACAAUCCGUGCCAAUGCUGGACCUCGGAUAGAUUCAAGAAUAGAAGAAAUUAAUGAUCUAAGGAGAAGGCUUGGUGAGAUGGACAAUGCAAUUCAUGAGCAUGAUAAAAGGCUUCAAAGGAUGGAGAAGAUUUUCAAGGCAAUGACUUAUGUCAUUGUAUUUUGUGUAUUUUUGUACUUUAUCAUAUAAAUGACUAAGUUGUUAGGUUUUGGAACAUGCUAUGAAUGUAAUCUACUUUUCUACUUGUUUUGUAUUUUUUUGUUGGUGCUUAAAAA